rnacentral:lncRNA from 10 species
GAAUUAUACGAAGGACCUGGCCGCAAGAAGGCAUUGAGCCCCGAGGAGGACAACAGGCCUCAGCUCUUGGCACCAAGUAACUAUGAAGACUCUGAGAACUGGACCAUCCCAAGGCUGUAGCUUUCUUCAAGCCUGGCAGGCUCUGUCGUGGUGAAGAGUCUGAAGGCUUUUUCUUUUCCAGUAACACAGGAGGUGAUUGAAUGGAAGGAGUGGCCAGUCACUCUUUGGCGUCCAGGAUCCAAGAAGAAACAGAUGAGGAGGAAGGAGGAUAAACAACUUCUGGACAAAGCGAGGACAUUGUGACUUUGAGGCCUCUUACCUCUGCAAACUAGCCAGGAGAAAAGCUGUGACUGAAGAAACUGCCUCCUCCAAAGUUUCUGGGCCCUGCCCUUCACAGGGCAAUGUUCCCAGCUAUGGUAAGAAGCAAAGAGAAGACAAAGACCAAAGCCUGAGGCAGAAGAGGGUGUCUACUGGCAGUGAUCACCCAAAGCUGACUCUGUCUACCCCAGUCGGGCCUCCCCUUCUUCAGACAAAGUACAGUGGAUCCAUGACAUGGAUGUUUGGUGACAAUCAGCAUUAGCUUCACUUUUAAACAGUCCAUGGAAAAAAGCACUCACGGCUGGAGGCCUCAAUGGACAAUUUUAUUAGCAGGUGAAAUGACUGCCAUUAAAUUAGUAGCAAUUAAAACUGCUAUCACUUAAAAAAAAAAAU